rnacentral:rRNA from 1 species
GACGAACGCUGGCGGCGUGCCUAAUACAUGCAAGUAGAACGCUGAAGAGAGGAGCUUGCUCUUCUUGGAUGAGUUGCGAACGGGUGAGUAACGCGUAGGUAACCUGCAUUGUAGCGGGGGAUAACUAUUGGAAACGAUAGCUAAUACCGCAUACCAAUGGAUGACACAUGUCAUCUAUUUGAAAGGGGCAACUGCUCCACUACAAGAUGGACAUGCGUUGUAUUAGCUAGUAGGUGAGGUAACGGCUCACCUAGGAGACGAUACAUAGCCGACCUGAGAGGGUGAUCGGCCACACUGGGACUGAGGCACGACCCAGACUCCUACGGGAGGCAGCAGUAGGGAAUCUUCGGCAAUGGGGGCAACCCUGACCGAGCAACGCCGCGUGAGUGAAGAAGGUUUUCGGAUCGUAAAGCUCUGUUGUAAGUCAAGAACGAGUGUGAGAGUGGAAAGUUCACACUGUGACGGUAGCUUACCAGAAAGGGACGGCUAACUACGUGCCAGCCGCCGCGGUAACAC